rnacentral:piRNA from 1 species
UGGACCUUGCUUUCUAGAUUUCAGCAUCAAU